rnacentral:rRNA from 1 species
GACAGAGGAUGCAAGCGUUAUCCAGAAUGAUUGGGCGUAAAGCGUCUGUAGGUGGCUUUUCAAGUCCGCCGUCAAAUCCCAAGGCUCAACCCUGGACAGGUGGUGGAAACUACCAAGCUGGAGUACGGUAGGGGCAGAGGGAAUUUCCGAUGGAGCGGUGAAAUGCAUUGAGAUCGGAAAGAACACCAACGGUGAAAGCACUCUGCUGGGCCGACACUGACACUGAGAGACGAAAGCUAGGGGAGCAAAUGGG